ensembl:piRNA 21ur-11221 ncRNA
UAGAAGUAGAUUUUACAGCUU